UACAACUCAUCCAUAAUGAGAUCUGAUG
rnacentral:piRNA from 1 species